CCCAGCUCCCAGUCCCGCUCUCCUGUCCCAGGCCGGGGUGGGCAGUUUCAGGGGCUCCUUCUGGGAGGGGUAGCAGGUAGGCACCCCAGCCGUGCCUGUCUACUGCGGGAACGGCCGAGGGCAUACAGACAGGCGUGGCUGGACAGACUCAGCAGUCAGACGUUCUGCACCCGCGUCCAGGGCUCUUCGGGCAGAGGGGAAAGUGUGGAUGGCCGCACUCGCCCCUGCCCCCGCCUCCAGGAAGGCCUGCGCAGCUCUGCCCUUCCUUCCCCUGUUCUUUGGCCUCCCUUUCCCCUCAGCUACAGACCUUUUCCCUUUUCCCUCCGCUGACUUAGCAGUGUGCUGCCGGGCGUGGAGGGAUUAAUCAGUGACAGGAAGCUGCCUCUUUCGGAGCAGUGACCACUGUGGUCAGGAGAGCCUCUCUCUACCCGGCCAGCCCUAGGAGCCUGUCCCGCUCCCCGCCUGCUGUCCAGCCCCUGCUCCUGCCAUGGGGCACCUCGGGGCCCUCCUCUUCCUGCUGGGGGGCCUGGGAGCGCUAGCCCACAUCUGCGAGAUAACCGAGGUGGACAGCACGCUGGUGGAGAGGCUGGGCCAGCGCCUCUUGCCCUGGAUGGACCGGCUCUCCCCGGAGCAGCUGAACCCCAGUAUCUACGUGGGCCUGCGCCUCUCGAGCCUGCAGGCUGGGGCCAAGGAGGCCCACUACCUGCACAGCCUCAAGCUCAGCUACCAGCAGAGCCUCCUGAGGCCUGCCUCCAACAAGGAUGACAGUGACUCCGAGGCCAAGCCCUCCAUGGGCCAGCUGGCCCUCUACCUGCUGGCUCUCCGGGCCAACUGCGAGUUCAUCGGAGGCCGCAAGGGGGACAGGCUGGUCUCCCAGCUGAAGCGGUUCCUGGAGGACGAGAAGAGGGCCAUCGGGCACAACCACCAGGGCCACCCCCGCACCAGCUACUACCAGUAUGGCCUGGGCAUCCUGGCCCUGUGUGUCCACCAGAAGCGAGUCCAUGACAGUGUGGUGGGCAAGCUCCUGUAUGCCGUGGAACACAAGCCGCAUCUUCUGCAGGACCACGUCUCUGUGGACACCAUGGCCAUGGCAGGCAUGGCCUUCUCCUGUCUGGAGCUGUCCAACCUCAACCCCAAGCAGAGAAACCGGAUCAACCUGGCCCUCAAGAGAGUGCAAGAGAAGAUCCUGAAGGCCCAGACCCCAGAGGGCUACUUCGGGAAUGUCUACAGCACCCCUCUGGCUUUGCAGUUGCUGAUGGGUUCCCUCAGGCCCUCGGUGGAGCUGGGCACGGCCUGCCUCAAAGCCAAGGCUGCUCUGCAGGCCAGCCUACAGCACAAGACCUUCCAGAACCCUCUCAUGAUCUCUCAGCUGCUGCCCAUCCUGAACCAGAAGAGCUAUGUGGAUCUCAUCUCCCCAGACUGCCAGGCUCCAAGAGCCCUGUUGGAACCGGCUCCAGAGACCCCGCCACAGGCCCAAGUCCCGAAGUUCAUUGACGUCUUGCUGAAGGUCUCCAGCAUCUCCCCUUCAUACAGACACUCUGUCUCUGUCCCUGCCGGCUCCUCCCUGGAAGACGUUCUGAAGAAUGCCCAGGAGCAUGGAAGAUUCAGGGUCACGCACUUAGUAAGCGCUCAACACAGGCUAGCUUUCAGAAGGAUGAGACUUUUUAGUAUCAAACGAUCCUGGUCCGAUCCCUGUGAUGAAGGAGUCACCUGGCCAAGCCUUCUGCAGAGUGCGGUGGGACAAGGGCCUUCCUCUUGCUUCUCACCCUGAGAUGGGAUGGAUCUGAGAUGAGUGUUUCCAGAGCGCUGCUCUGGGCCCCGCCAUGUCCACACCUGAAUAAGAUGGGAGGGGUCCCCGGCGGGGAUCGGCCCAGAGGAUGAGUGCCUCCCAGCGGACCCCACGGCCUGCAGCGCACUGAUGGCCGCACCGCUGGGCCCACACACACCGGGUGCCCUUGGCAGGCCCUGGGAUCACCUAGCGGACGUGCAUACUCAGUCGCUCGGGCGUGUCCGACUCUUUGGCGACCCCAUGGACGGUAGCCCGCCAGGCUCCUCUGUCCGUGGGAUUUCUCAGGCAAGAAUACUGGAGUGGGUUGCCAUUUCCUUCUCUAGGGGAUCUUCCUAAUGCAGGGAUCGAAGCCGCAUCUCUUACAUCUCCUGCAAUUGUCAGGCAAAUUCCUUAUCACUGAGCCACCUGGGAUUACCAAGGUCGUGUUUGGACAUUGUCGUCAAAAUGGAAAAAAAAAAUUGAACUUUUUUUUUUGGCCACACCACGGCAUGUGGGAUCUUAGUUUCCAUAGCAGAGUCGAACCCACACUCCCUUGCAGUGUAAGCGAAGAGUCUCAACCACGGACCACCAGGGAAGUCCCAACUUGGACAGUUUUAUUCAGAACUGCAGGACCUCUGAGAAAAUGUCAGGGAUACCAAUCUGAGAAAUGAUUCUCUUGGUGGUAGAGAGGGUGCCUGAGCUGGGUUCAGGGGCCAGAAGGGAGGCAUGUUUGAGGCACAUGAGUGCAUGGCAGAGAAAGCCGGACUCUGGAAGGAGAGAGAGGAAGAGAGACAGGCGGCGAGGAAGAGACAGAAAGAGGGGAGAGAGCAAUGGAGCGAGGCAGGCCAGCAGCGCUCUGGGCAGCCACGUGGCCCCCGAAACCUGGGUACGGGCUGCUCCCUAAAACCUUCCCUUUGACCAGGUCACCCUGAGGGCAUUUCUGUUUCUUAAAACUAUGAAAACCUUCCCUCUCCAAGGCCAAUGCUACUGAUAAGGAGAGAGGACCGCCACGGCAUUUGAAGAGAGUCAUUUUGGCAGCCGUGUCCAUACUCAGGAAGGGGUGGUAUGGAGUGUCUUGGUUGCAAAGGCCAGGAAUCUAAUCCAAGCCUCUCUAGUAGCAGGCAGCAUGGGGUGUGUAGACUCGGAGGGAAGACUGAGCAGCCCAGCUGAGAGAAUGGGGGUGCCCCUGAGCCACAGAGGGGGCUUCCCUGGUGGCUCAGUGGUUAAAAAAACCCGCCUGCCAAUGCAGGAGACUCGGGUUCGAUCUCUGGGUCGGGAAGAUCCCCUGGAGGAGGAAAUGGCAACCCACUCUAGUACUCUUGCCUGGGAGAUGCCAUGGACAGAGGAGCCUUGCGAGUUACAGUCCAUGGAAUCCCCAAAGAGCCUGACACGACUUAGCGACUAAACAACAACUGAGCCACGAAAACGCCACCGGUGUCUCUGCCUCUGUCUCACCUGCUCUACUUCUUCCUCCUGUUGGCCUCACUCUGGGUGUGGGCAGCUUCUGAUUCUCACCCCACUGCAAGGUUUAGAACACAGGCCUCCCUGUCCGGCCCCUUCCUGACUUCCGUGCUGGGGAGAAAGGCUGGGGAACGUGAGUUCUGGCAGGUCCUCCGAGAUCCUGACACCCCCUUGCAGCAAG